rnacentral:sRNA from 1 species
CCACGUGGCCGCCAAGGGGUGACAUGGGCACUCGAUGGGGUCUGGGCAGAAAGCCGUGCUCCCCUCACCUCCGUGCCUCUGGUCUUCUGGUGGGUGCAUUGAUGGGAGUAGAUGCGCUUGUGUCCUUAUGUCAUGGCGCGGCUCUGGAGAAGCCGCUGCGGUCCCCAGCAGAGAGCAGUGACACUUACAGGAGUUCUGGAGGGCUGUGCGGGGCUGCAGCUUGGAGGGCAGGGCGGGGCUGCAGCUUGGAGGGCAGGGCGGGGCUGCAGCUUGGAGGGCAGGGCUUGUCUUAUGCAGGAGGGCGCUCAAGGAGGGGAUGGGGAGGGUUGAGGACUGCUGGGAUUGGCAUCUGAGCAUCAGGUGGGGACUGGGCAGCAGUGGAUCUGAGCCUGGCUACUUCAGGUCCCUGAGCCAGACACUGUCCCCAGGUACAGCAGGGUCCCGGGGAGUCCGGGAGGCGGCGGAGUGCGGCACUGUCUGGAGAGUUCAGUGUAUUGCAGAGAGGUUGGAGAAAAUCAAGUCUUGCACGUGGCGAUGGCUCAAGAUUCCCUGAGGUCUUCAGUGCUGACUAAGGAGUCUGAAAUGAUGAUUCAUGUUUUACCUUUGGGGCUGAGCCAAGUGCAUCUCUUUGAGCAAUCGACUUAAUUUCCUUGUCGUCACCAAUUAUCAUAACCAAUUAUCAUCGUAAAGGAUGGUAAUUCCUUUAAUUAUACCCAGCUUAAAAACAUGAUUCUGUUCCACAAACGAAAGGAGCACAUCAGAGAUGCCUUCAGUUCUGUGUGCUUGAACUUUGAAUUCCAUGAAUUAUAGUUGCACUGAGGGGAGAAUCCUGUUUCCAUCCUCCUGGUUCCUUCUCCCUUUCCUGUCCCCAUGUUUCUCUGAGGCUUGGCAAUGCUCUCUGGAUACUUGGUGAGUAGCCCAGGAGGACUCAGGAGUGAGAGGCCCCUGCCUCCUGCCCUGGGAGAAGGCUGUGGGUGGGCCGUGAACCCGGCCUUGUGUGGCAGGACAGUGAGUGUCUGCUGGUGUGUUCCUACAGCAGACGGACUGGACUGAGCCCUGGCUCAUGGGGCUGGCCACCUUCCACGCGCUCUGCGUGCUCCUCACCUGCUUGUCCUCCCGAAGCUACAGACUACAGAUCGGGCACUUUCUGUGUCUAGUCAUCUUAGUCUACUGUGCUGAAUACAUCAAUGAGGCGGCUGCGAUGAACUGGAGAUUAUUUUCGAAAUACCAGUAUUUUGACUCCAGGGGGAUGUUCAUUUCUAUAGUAUUUUCAGCCCCACUGCUGGUGAAUGCCAUGAUCAUUGUGGUUAUGUGGGUAUGGAAGACUUUGAAUGUGAUGACUGACCUGAAGAAUGCACAAGAGAGAAGAAAGGAAAAGAAAAGGAGAAGGAAAGAAGACUGAGGGGCAGCAGCUGCUUGGAGUUUGCGUCCUUCCCAUCCACCCAGUGCAGCUCCCAGUGCUGCAGUGCGCGUGGCGUGGGCAUCCUUCCAGCUGACUCAUGGUUUGAAAAACCGUUGUUUUAUUUAAAUAUCCACAGUGGUAGGGCACACACUGAAGUUGGCUUUUCAGCCAGCACUGAAUGUAUCCAUCAGGGCAUGCGUCUUCAGGCGCCUGAUCUUUGUAGUCAGGCUGUGGGAACGGUCUCUGCAGAGCUUCAUAACUGGGAAUUUGAUUUGAAGAAGUCCAUGUCAUAUGUGUAACUAGUACUAAUUAUAAAUAUAAAAUACACAAUAUAAAAUAUGAAACUCAAUAAUAAACAGUGCCACCUGU